CGGCCGUGGGGCAAGUAUGCAGCGGAGAUCCGGGACUCCACCCGCAACGGCGCCCGCGUCUGGCUCGGCACUUUCGACACCCCGGACGCCGCCGCGCUCGCCUGCGACCAGGCCGCCUUCUCCGUGCGCGGCCCGGCCGCCGUGCUCAACUUCCCCGUCAAGCUUGUGCAGGAGUCGCUGCGCGCGCUCGGGCUCGGCGUCGGCCGUGCCGCGGGGGACUCGCCUGCUCUCGCGCUCAAGCGCCGGCACUGCAUCCGGAAGAGAAACCCCAAGAACAAGAGGAGGACGGGCACGUCGGCGACAGCGACGGUGGUGGCUGCUGCGUCGUCAAUGUCAUUGUCAACGUGCGUGCUGGAGCUGGAAGACCUUGGAGCCGACUACCUCGAGGAGCUGCUCACCUUGUCCGAUAUG
rnacentral:rRNA from 1 species